rnacentral:rRNA from 1 species
ACAGUGGGGAAUUUUUUACAAUGGGCGAAAGCCUGAUCCAGCAACGCCGCGUGAAUGAUGAAGGCCUUCGGGUUGUAAAGCUCUGUUGUCAGGGACGAAAAAUUCCCUUUUGAACCGGGCGGUACUUUGCCGUUCCUUCAGAAGAAACCCCCGGUAAAUUUCUUCCCGCCCGCCCGGUUAAUCCGAGGGGGGCAACCUUUUUCCGGAAUUCUUGGGGUAAAACGCGGGUCGGGCGGUCGUGUAAUUCUGAUUGAAAACCCCGGGGUUCACCCCCGGAAUGCAUUUGAAACUGCUGGUCUUGAGUGCAGAAGAGGGAAGCGGAAUUCCCCGUGUAGCGGUGAAAUGCGUAGAGAUCUGGAGGAACACCAGUGGCGAAGGCGGCUUUCUGGUCUGUAACUGACGCUGAGGCGCGAAAGCGUGGGGAGCAAACAGGAUUAGAUACCCUGGUAGUCCACGCCGUAAACGAUGAGUGC